rnacentral:lncRNA from 1 species
GAGGGAAAGAUCUUAUUCAUUCAUGCAUAUUCACAAGGCCUUGGUACAGAAUGUACAUGGGAACAUAAAGCUUUGAAAUUCUAGGGGUAGAAUCGACGUAGUUGUCCGAUGUUCCACGCGUUGGUGAUGAUCGCCCCCUUUUCGUCCGCGAGCUUGUAUGUCCCCGGCUUCAAGACCUCGGCCACUACGUAUGGGCCCUCCCAAGGUGGAGUC